rnacentral:lncRNA from 1 species
AAAGGUCUGUUUCAUCCAAAGUUCAGGGAAUUCAUUUGCAAUACAUGAAAAUGGAAAGUUUUUGUCAUGUAUUACUCAGGAAUCUUUCACUAGCAUGAAAAAAAUAACAGAACACAUAGCUUCAGAGAUUUGAAGAUGUACGUAGCCAACUGAUUUAGUGUAUUUAAGAAUGCAGAGGACAAGCUUACUUCCUUAGUUCCAUGGCUAAUCUAUGCAUCCAUGUUUUUAAUUACAUUUCUUCUCACUAGCCCCUUGGCACCUUGCUUCCUCAAUUUGCCCUUUGUCUCUUUCAUCCUUUCCAAGGCUCAUGUUUCCUCAGAGCAUAAUUGUAUUCAAUAUAUCCUAAGUAAAAAACUUAUUCCUCCGUAUUAUCAAGGUUCACUAUCUUUGGAGUCCUCCCACUUGACAUAAUGUGUCUCAACUCAAGCUCUUGGGUGUCUUUUCAUUUAUAACUUUUAUCUCAACCCAAAUCUCAAGGUAUCUGAAAAUUAAAAACUGUAACUUGGGUUCUUCCUCAUCAUCUCCUGCUUGCUUGGGAGUCUUCGGCACCACAUAAGUGUUUUUAUAGUCACAUAGACUUAGCAAACUCAUAAAUCAAGUUCUUAGAGCCAAUGUUAGGGGCUCUGAGGCUUCACUUCCACCUCAAAUGACAUAGCGUCUCCACUGCAUGGCAAGCAUGAUUUUCAUGAGCUGGAAUAACUCCCUGCAUGAAAAUAACAUACUUUCUUUAAAUUGGCAACACAAAGCCCCUUCUUGGGCAGAGCAUGGCAUACUGUCCUUCUUUUUUCAUUUCCUUUCCGCAUAGCAUCAAAUGAUAUUUUGAAACAUCUUCACUUUCAGAAACUAGUUGAGUGCCACUGUCUUGAUGGAUUAAAUCCCAACUCUCCCUGUUCAGCUUUACCUCUGAGUUCUUCUGCUUCCCUUUUAUGUCAAAAAUUAUUAGACUUGGAACCGUGGAGUUUUUCCUCAACCCAACCCAUGAAUCUCAUAUUAUUUCAUAUGGAAUAUCUUCUGGCAGCUUUACAUCUGGAGAAGUGGUAUUUUCCUUCACUUUUCCAUGGCUCAUGUGCUGGUUCUUUAUGCUUCUAAAGAUGAAUUCACAAAUAAUUUGAUAUUUAUGGUGUUUGUUAUCUGGAGCCAUCUUGAAACCUAAUCCAUCAUUCAUAGUGAUGAGGAAGACGAAAUGGUUGCAUUUGUUUGAGAUGUGCUCAAAGUAUGGGAGAAAGCUGGGUAGAGUAUUUAGCUCUUAAUUAUAGGGAAUAUAUUUAGCAGAGAUUACAAGAUAUAAAUGAAACUCAAGUUUCAGUUGACAAUCUCUGUGAUACUUGAGAAGUAGUAAAUUGAAAGCUUUAACCAAAGGUGUUUGAUAAAGACUUGAUUUCACAUUGUUCAAUUGUGUUUAGAUAUAUAGAGGCAGUAUUAUUUUAAUUUAAUUGUCUAUUUUACUUAUUCAUGUUACAUCCCACUCACUGCCCCCACCCUGGUCACCCCCUCCCACAAUCCUUGCCCUACCCCUCCCCUAUCUUCUGACUGGAUGGGCCCCCCCUUCCUGGGUAUUUCUUCUAUCGUGGCACUGCAAGUCUCUGCAAGGCUAGGUGCUUCCUCUCCCACUUAAAGCCAGACAAGGCAGCCCUGCUUGAAGAACAUAUCCCACAGACAGACUACAGCUUUUGGGAUAGCUCUGCUCCAGUUGUUCAGCAACCACAUGAAGGUUCAGCUACACUUCUGCCACAUACGAGCAGUGAGGCUGAGGUCUAGCCUGUGUAUGUUUUUGGGUGGUGGUUCAGAAUCUUAGAGCCCCAAGGAUCCAGGAUAGUUGACUCUGAUGGUCUUCCUGUGGAGUUCCCGCCCUCUUCAUGCUGCAAUCCUUCCUCCUAUUCUUCCUUAAGAGUCCCCAAGCUCCAUCUACUGUUUGGGUGUGGGUGUCUAUAUCUGUCUGAGUCAUCUGCUGGGUGGAGCCUCUCAGACGAUGACAUGCUACUGCCAGCAAACAUAACAGUAUCAUUAAUACUGUUAGAGAUUUGUGAAAAAGCAACAUCUUGAUGAAUUAAGAUUACUAUAACAAAACUUAGAUGAGUAAAAAUCUCUAUAAGAAGAUUUUAUUUUGAUGUUAGAUUAUGAGUCCUAUUAUAUGUAUAAGUUGUGCUCUACAUGAAACCUAGACUUCAUGAACCAUUCAAAGAGAUGGAAUUUUGAGAAUUCUUUUCAAUGUUCAUAUGAAUAAGGAGGAAGAGAUUUUGUAUUCCCAGAGCUGAGCCUGACAGCAAUGUUUUCAAUAUCAGAAACUAUAAAGAUUCGUUUUCUUUUAUUUUUUUUUUCAUCCCAGGAGUUUUGUGCCUCUGCCAGUGUUCAGAUGCUUUAGAUUAAUAUAAGUUGAAGGAUUUGUGAAUGAAGCUGCUCAAUUCAGGCUGAUGCUCUACAUUAAUCCUAGAAGUAGGGCAAUUUUUUUUUCCUGGCAUGCUGAAAAGCAGAGACAAAUUGACUUUGGAGCAGAAUGGAUAUAUAGACAGGUUUCCAAGUCUUUGUAAUUGUGUGUUCAUAGUGUGGCUUAAUUAUCUUUAAUGAAAUGAUGUGAGCUCUUCCAAUAACUAACAAACCUGUGGAGAAAAUUUAUAGGCCCACAAUAGAUAUUUCUGAAGUUUACUAGGUUUUUAAUUGUUUUUUAUAUUUUAAUGUUUAGAAGGAACAAAUCACCAAAUCUUUGUCUUUUUUUUUUUUUCUUGUGGGAUCUACAAUAUCAAUGUAAAAAAAUUAACUCUGCCUUGGCAGUUCUCCAUGCUUUGACAGAGUGUACUUUUGUAAACACAAUUGUUUAAGUUAGUUAAGGAGAUAAUUCUAGCUCCAAGCAACACAGUCUGGAAAUAAUUUCAUUUGUAUGCAUUAUUAUUGUUAUGAGGUAUAUUUUAUGGAUUUUUUGUCUUAAUGCAAAGGAGAAAAUUUUAAUUAGUCCAGCAUUAGUUGGAAAGGUGAAAGAUUCUCAUUUGCUCAUCUGAUGGACAUGAUGUUUGGGAAAUUGUGAAGUCACACCUUGGGGAAGCCUUAGUGAAAACAAGGGACACAGUUUGGCAGUAGAACAAAUGCCUGACAUGUUCAAACUCCGGCUCAAACUGCCAGAAACUUAGAGGAUUGGACCAAUGG